GACAUGCUAGUCGAGCGCCUUCCAGCCACGAAGAAGGCGCGGCACACAGCUCAGUAACACGUAGCUAACCUGCCCUCGGGACGAGAACACCCCCGGGAAACUGGGGCUAAUUCUCGAUAGGCGAAGAACUCUGGAAUGAGUCUUUACCCAAAAGACGUUUAGAUCAUGCUUCUAGGCGUCGCCCAAGGAUGGGGCUGCGACCGAUCAGGUAGUUGGUGAGGCAAUGGCUCACCAAGCCUUUAACCGGUGCGGGCCGUGGGAGCGGGAGCCCGGAGAUGGGCACUGAGACAAGGGCCCAGGCCCUACGGGGCGCAGCAGUCGCGAAAACUUUGCAAUAAGCGAAAGCUUGACAGGGCUAUCCCGAGUGCCAUCCGCUGAGGAAGGCUUUUACCCAGUCUAGUAAGCUGGGGGAAUAAGGAGAGGGCAAGUCUGGUGUCAGCCGCCGCGGUAAUACCAGCUCUCCGAGUGGUGUGGAUGUUUAUUGGGCCUAAAGCAUCCGUAGCUGGCUGAGUUAGUCCCCUGUUAAAUCCACCGAAUCAAUCGUUGGAUUGCGGGGGAUACUGCUCGGCUAGGGGACGGGAGAGGCAGACGGUAUUUCCGGGGUAAGGGUGAAAUCUUAUAAUCCCGGGAAGACCACCAGUGGCGAAGGCUGUCUGCUAGAACGCGCCCGACGGUGAGGGAUGAAAGCUGGGGGAGCGAACCGGAUUAGAUACCCGGGUAGUCCCAGCUGUAAACGAUGCAGCUAGGUGUUUGGACGGCCACGUGCCGUUCUAGUGCCGCAGGAAGCUGUUAAGCCUGCCGCCUGGGGAGUACGAUCGCAGAUUGAAACUUAA
rnacentral:rRNA from 1 species